AUUGAACGCUGGCGGCAUGCUUUACACAUGCAAGUCGAACGGCAGCAUGACCUAGCUUGCUAGGUUGAUGGCGAGUGGCGAACGGGUGAGUAAUGCACCGGAACGUAUCCAAUAAUGGGGGAUAACGCACCGAAAGGUGUGCUAAUACCGCAUACGCCCUGAGGGGGAAAGCGGGGGACUCGCAAGGGCCUCGCGUUAAUGGAGCGGCCGAUGCCGGAUUAGCUAGUUGGUGGGUAAAGGCCCACCAAGGCGACGAUCCGUAGCUGGUCUAAGAGGAGGACCAGCCACACUGGGACUGAGACACGGCCCAGACUCCUACGGGAGGCAGCAGUGGGGAAUUUUGGACAAUGGGGGCAACCCUGAUCCAGCCAUGCCGCGUGAGUGAAGAAGGCCUUCGGGUUGUAAAGCUCUUUCGCAAGGAAAGAAAACUUAUCUCCUAAUACGAGAUGAGGCUGACGGUACCUUGAUAAGAAGCACCGGCUAACUACGUGCCAGCAGCCGCGGUAA
rnacentral:rRNA from 1 species